GCGGACGUGGCGGAAUUGGCAGACGCGCAGCGCUCAGGACGCUGUGGGUAACACCGUGGAGGUUCGAGUCCUCUCGUCCGCACCA
rnacentral:tRNA from 1 species